CUUCUGACCCCAUUCCAGCUGUCUUCACUGAUGGAGGAUUCUGGGGGAAUGGCUAUAGGGAAGAGCAUCUUCUCCUGAUCAGAAUUUAUGGAUACACGGCUUCUAGUCAACUGACCUGGGGCCACUUCUGUUGCACAGCCCACUCCAGCUGGCCCCCCAGUCGUCUUCCCUCAGGGUUGUCACUCUGCCCUUCCCACAAAGCAUGCAUCCAAGACUGCAUCUUAAUUGACCUCUUCUCAGACCUGCUCCUCAGGGCUGGAACUAGAGCAAGUGAAGCCCUUGUACCUGGUUCAACAUUUAAGAGGGCACCAAACUCCACAGAUCUGCAGAGAUCUCUGAAUCUGAGCAGCAGAGGUAGUGACAGACCUCACCCCAGAUGGCGCUCCUGGUUCAUCUUUAUUUUUAGUUUCUGUCUGGAUGAAAAAUUUGCGAUGUGCACACCGCGCAGAACACAUAGAAUUAUGACUCACUUUUCACAAACUGUAUUGUGGAUUUCACAUAUUUUCAUGCUUGAUUUUCUACUAUGUUGAAAACUGAUACAAAAAUGCUCUUUUCCUCUUCUCUGGGACAUGGGGACAUGUGUCCCAAUGGGGAAGGGGCAUCGGUUCCCCCUUCCUUCCCUUCUUGCCUUCCCGACCGCACAGUGAGGGAAGAACCACUGUCUUCCUUCCUCAGCCUGGAAGCUUCAUUAUUCCUCACACAGGACCAUUUUUCCAGCUCAUUAGAACCUGGAGCUAAGAUAAAGGAGGGCAGAGCCAUUAGGUAGCAAUUUAUAUGUAAAUGUGGAAGUUACUAGAGAAAGAGAAUGGCCCACUGUUCUUUAGGAAGCAUUCAAGUUGGGAUCUUCUGGAAAGCUAGCAUCACACAGGAGCCCGGUAAUGCCCACCACCCAUUUGCCAGGCUCUGGGUACAUCUCCUUGUCUUCACACAGGAGGAGACUGAGGCCAAGGUGACACAGUGAGUGAUGUGCAGGGCCAGGACCUAAGCUGCAGGUGGACCUCGAAGGUAGUGCAUGGCCACUUUAUGGGGUACCUCUAAGGGGAGUGGGCCUCUCUGACCAGCCUCACACUCUCCCUUCUCCUUACUUCAAUUUUUGCAGCCUAUUCAGACUCAUCUGCUGGCUCAUGAGCUCAGAUCCAAGGGGGAAAGGUAUUUUGUACACUCUGUUAAGAUCUAAUUAAACAGUUAUCGUGCCCAGUGCUGUGCUGCGUAUGUGUAGAGGACAGUCCCUAGCAAAGGAAUACUCUGGGCUUGGUCCCAAGCUCUGAUAUUGAGGGGUCAGGAAUUAAAAUAGGGGAUGCUAAUAAGAAGGUGAGGGGGCGAAACUUUUGAAAGCUAAAGAAAUUCUGGCUUUUCUCCAGGCUUUUCUUCACAAUGGUCAAUAGCCCAAUCUCCACCCAAGCCCUGACCUUUUGGGAGUGACAGAGGGAUGCGUGAGAGGGCAGGCUGUCACCCUAGGAGAAGCAGCCUGCCCUCUCUGACUUCUUUAGCCAGCUAGCAAAUAGUUUUCUGAGGAGGGAAAGACAUCCUCACUUCUGCCAAGGGUGAGUUUUCAAUCUGCACCAUCCACUAGCUUAGUCCCCUAGACUUUGAGCUUGACUCACAACAAUACUCUCCCUCCUUAAGUAUGAGGUGAAGACAGAGGCAAGGGGCUGGAAGUGGUGAGUUUUGGUGGAGGCUGAACAUAUACUUAAGCCAAUAUAUCAUUGAGCUUAGUCUUGAGAACAAUGGGAAACCCUCAGAGUCUUAAGUAGAAAGCGAUGUGGAAGUGAUAGGAUCAGAUUUGUGGUUUAGAAAGAUCUCUUUGGCUUCUCUGGAGGAUGAAUGGGAGGCAGUGAACAGAAAGUUAACAGGCAGCUUCAGCCAUUUAGAAGAGAGAUAAAUGGUACUUGGACCAAGUGGAGGGGCAGACAGGAGGAUGGAUGGGAUAGAAACCCAAGAGAUAGACUUGAUAGCACUUGGUGAUUGAUUGGCUGUGGGGCUGAGAGAGAGUGAGUAACACCCAAGCUUAUGGCUUGAGCCACUGUAUGGGCAGCCAUGUCUGCUGUUUCCUGAGAUCCACCUGCAGGAUGAGAAGCAGUUUUUUUUUUGGGAAAGAUGAUAAAGUUAGUUUUGGCUGUGCUGAGUCUGAUGAACCCAUGGGACAUCAAAAUAGAGCUAUCUUGUCAGAGCUCAAGAAGAAUACUUCGGAGACAUUGUUAUAUAGAUGGCAAUUAAAUUGAGAAAAGGCAGGGUCUGAGGACAACAUCCAGAGGAGGAUGGUGGGAAGGAUGGGAAAAGGAAGAUUUCACAAAAUUGAUUGAGGAAUGAUGACCAAAGAGGCAGGAGUGGGGAGAAGGGUGUCAUGGAGGUUGAUGAAAGGGAGUGUUUCAAGGAGACAGGGUCAACAGUGUAAAAUGCUCAGGGAGGUCACAUAAUAUGAGGACAUGGCAUGAGUAGGGGUUUGAGUGGUUUGAGGAGUGAAUAGGAGGUGAGGAUGUAGCAACAGUGUAGAUAGCAAAUUUCUCCUUCCCUCCCUGCUUUGCUUCCUUCCAACAAAAAGAAGGGAAGAAGAGUCAUCUGGGGCCCUGCCACCCUGAAAUGACCACUGCUAACAUUGUGGUGCCCAGCCUUCUAUGCAUCACUUUAGGUAUCACACACUGCAUCCAUAGAGAAACUUCAACUGAAAUGGGAUCACACACAUGUUGUUUUUACCAUAGAUUUCCCCCUUUAACUCCACAUCAGGACUCAAGUGCUUAUUUUACUCUCUUUUCAUAAGCUGUGUUAACCAUUUAACAUAUGUUCUAUAUUUUUCUCUUUACAUAUGUAAUCCCAUGCAGGGUGUGUAUGUGUGUGUGUGUGUGUAUGUGUGUGUGAUUGUUUUAAAAAGAUCAUAUUCACACUUGCUUUUCUCACUCAACUGUAUCUCAGUGAAAUUCCUUUACACUAUCAGGAGGAGCUCUGAUUCAUUCUCUCUCUCUCUCUCUUUUUUUAAAAGUUUUAUUUAUUCUUGAGAGAGAGAGAGUUAGAGGCAGAGGGAGAAGCAGGCUUCCCACGGCCAGGGAGUCUGACUGGGGCUGCUUCCCAGGACUU